GGAAUAUGGCUUAGUGGUAGAGUGCUUGCCUAACAUGCAUGAAGCCCUGAGUUCAAUUCCUCAGUACCA
rnacentral:tRNA from 1 species